rnacentral:rRNA from 1 species
UGCGUAGGUGGUUUAUUAAGUCGUAUGUGAAAACCCUGGGCUUAACCUAGGAAUUGCAUAUGAAACUGAUAGGCUAGAGUGCAGUAGAGGGAAGUGGAAUUUCCAGUGUAGCGGUGAAAUGCGUAGAUAUUGGAAGGAACAUCAGUGGCGAAGGCGACUUCCUGGACUGUUACUGACACUGAGGCACGAAAGACGUGGGAGGCGAACA